rnacentral:rRNA from 1 species
GAUGAACGCUAGCGGCAGGCCUAACACAUGCAAGUCGAGGGAGAAGCCUGCGUGCGUAAACGAGCCCACGGGUGCGUAACGCGUAUACACGUUGCCAUAUACAUAGUAGUAGGGCAGAGAAAAGUGGAACAUUAGCUAAUGCUGUAUAAGAGCUGCGUCAGUUAGAUAUUAAGGCUUUGGCGUAGAAAGCGGAGGAUGCGGUCUAUUAGCUGGUAGGAGAGGUAACGGCUCACCAUGGCGACGAUAGAUAGGGGGUCUGUGAGGGAUGUACCCCACACUGGUACUGAGAUACGGACCAGACUCCUACGGGAGGCAGCAGUGAGGAAUAUUGGACAAUGGUCGGAAGACUGAUCCAGCCAUGCCGAGUGCAGGACGACGGUCCUAUGGAUUGUAAACUGCUUUUGUAAGGGAAGAAUAAGGAGUACGUGUACUUUGAUGACGGUACCUUACGAAUAAGCAUCGGCUAACUCCGUG